GAUGAAGAACGCAGCGAAAUGCGAUAAGUAAUGUGAAUUGCAGAAUCCAGUGAAUCAUCGAAUCUUAGAACGCACAUUGCGCCCGCCAGCAUUCUGGCGGGCAUGCCUGUUCGAGCGUCAUUUCAACCCUCGACCUCCCUUUGGGGAAGUCGGCGUUGGGGACCGGCAGCACACCGCCGGCCCUGAAAUGGAGUGGCGGCCCGUCCGCGGCGACCUCUGCGUAGUAAUCCAACUCGCACCGGAACCCCGACGCGGCCACGCCGUAAAACACCCAACUUCUGAACGUUGACCUCGAAUCAGGUAGGACUACCCGCUGAACUUAAGCAUAUCAAUAAGCGGAGGA
rnacentral:misc_RNA from 1 species